AGUGAACGCUGGCGGUAGGCCUAACACAUGCAAGUCGAACGGCAGCACAGUAAGAGCUUGCUCUUACGGGUGGCGAGUGGCGGACGGGUGAUGAAUACAUCGGAAUCUCCUUUUUCGUGGGGGAUAACGUAGGGAAACUUACGCUAAUACCGCAUACGACCUACGGGUGAAAGCAGGGGAUCUUCGUACCUUGCGCGAUUGAAUGAGCCGAUGUCGGAUUAGCUAGUUGGCGGGGUAAAGGCCCACCAAGUCGACGAUCCGUAGCUGGUCUGAGAGGAUGAUCAGCAACACUGGAACUGAGACACGGUCCAGACUCCUACGGGAGGCAGCAGUGGGGAAUAUUGGACAAAGGGCGCAAGCCUGAUCCAGCCAUACCGCGUGGGUGAAGAAGGCCUUCGGGUUGUAAAGCCCUUUUGUUGGGAAAGAAAAGCAGCAGGUUAAUACCCCGCUGUUCUGACGGUACCCAAAGAAUAAGCACCGGCUAACUUCGUG
rnacentral:rRNA from 1 species